rnacentral:rRNA from 1 species
GUUAGUGGCGGACGGGUGAGUAACGCGUGAGGAACCUGCCUUGCAGUGGGGAAUAACAGUCGGAAACGACUGCUAAUACCGCAUGAUGCACGAGAGUCGCAUGGCUUUUGUGCUAAAGAUUUAUCGCUGUGAGAUGGCCUCGCGUCUGAUUAGCUUGUUGGCGGGGUAACGGCCCACCAAGGCGACGAUCAGUAGCCGGACUGAGAGGUUGGCCGGCCACAUUGGGACUGAGACACGGCCCGGACUCCUACGGGAGGCAGCAGUGGGGAAUAUUGGGCAAUGGGCGCAAGCCUGACCCAGCAAUGCCGCGUGAAGGAAGACGGUUUUCGGAUUGUAAACUUCUUUUAACAGGGACGAUAAUGACGGUACCUGUUGAAUAAGCUCCGGCUAACUACGUGCCAGCAGCCGCGGUAAUACGUAGGGAGCGAGCGUUAUCCGGAUUUACUGGGUGUAAAGGGCGUGUAGGCGGGACAACAAGUCAGAUGUGAAAGCACGGGGCUCAACUCCGUGUCUGCAUUUGAAACUGUAGUUCUUGAGUGCUGGAGAGGCUAACGGAACUCCUAGUGUAGCGGUGAAAUGCGUAGAUAUUAGGAAGAACACCAGUGGCGAAGGCGGUUAGCUGGACAGUAACUGACGCUGAGGCGCGAAAGCGUGGGUAGCAAACAGGAUUAGAUACCCUGGUAGUCCACGCAGUAAACGAUGGAUACUAGGUGUGCGGGGACUGACCCCCUGCGUGCCGCAGCAAACGCAAUAAGUAUCCCACCUGGGGAGUACGAUCGCAAGGUUGAAACUCAAAGGAAUUGACGGGGGCCCGCACAAGCGGUGGAGCAUGUGGUUUAAUUCGAAGCAACGCGAAGAACCUUACCAGGUCUUGACAUCCCGGUGACCGGUACAGAGAUGUACCUUCUCUUCGGAGCACCGGUGACAGGUGGUGCAUGGUUGUCGUCAGCUCGUGUCGUGAGAUGUUGGGUUAAGUCCCGCAACGAGCGCAACCCCUAUUGUUAGUUGCUACGCAAGAGCACUCUAGCGAGACUGCCGUUGACAAAACGGAGGAAGGUGGGGACGACGUCAAAUCAUCAUGCCCCUUAUGACCUGGGCCACACACGUGCUACAAUGGCGUAUAACAAAGGGAGGCAAAGCCGCGAGGCAGAGCAAACCCCGAAAAUACGUCUCAGUUCGGAUUGCAGGCUGCAACUCGCCUGUAUGAAGUUGGAAUCGCUAGUAAUCGCGAAUCAGCAUGUCGCGGUGAAUACGUUCCCGGGCCUUGUACACACCGCCCGUCACACCAUGAGAGUCGGGAACACCCGAAGUCCGUAGCCUGACCGCAAGGGGGGCGCGGCCGAAGGUGGGUUCGAUAAUUGGGGUGAAGUCGUAACAAGGUAGCCGUAGGAGAACCUGCG